rnacentral:snoRNA from 1 species
GAGGGAUGAUGAGUCACAAAGGUUUCACUCACUGGACUGAACUCCUGUGCUGUCACUUCCUCUUGGCUGUCUGACCAG